CAGUAGCCGCGGUAAAACGGAGGGUGCAAGCGUUAAUCGGAAUUACUGGGCGUAAAGCGUGCGUAGGCGGUUCGUUAAGUCUGUUGUGAAAGCCCCGGGCUCAACCUGGGAAUGGCAAUGGAUACUGGCGAGCUAGAGUGUGUCAGAGGAUGGUGGAAUUCCCGGUGUAGCGGUGAAAUGCGUAGAGAUCGGAAAGAACACCAACGGCGAAAGCACUCUGCUGGGCCGACACUGACACUGAGAGACGAAAGCUAGGGGAGCAAAUGGGAUUAGAUACCCCAGUAGUCCCUGUCUCUUAUAA
rnacentral:rRNA from 1 species